UCAAAAAAUAGAUCUCAGUUCGGACUGUAGGCUGCAACUCGCCUACACGAAGUUGGAAUUGCUAGUAAUCGUGGAUCAGCAUGCCACGGUGAAUACGUUCCCGGGUCUUGUACACACCGCCCGUCACACCAUGGGAGCUGGUAACACCCGAAGUCAGUAGUCUAACCGCAAGGAGGACGCUGCCGAAGGUGGGAUUAGCGACUGGGGUGAAGUCGUAACAAGGUAUC
rnacentral:rRNA from 1 species